CCCUUAGAUGUUCUGGGCCGCACGCGCGCUACACUGAAUGGAUCAACGUGUUUUCCCUUCCCGAGAGGGACGGGUAACCUGCUGAACCCCGUUCGUGGUAGGGAUCGGGGCUUGCAAUUAUUCCCCGUGAACCAGGAAUGCCCAGUAAGUGCAAGUCAUAAGCUUGCGUUGAUUACGUCCCUGCCCUUUGUACACACCGCCCGUCGCUACUACCGAUUGAAUGGUUUAGUGAGGCCUCGGGAUAUGCGUUGGUAGGCGCUGGCAACAGUGACUCCAAAGCGAGAACUUGGUCAAACUUGAUCAUUUAGAGGAAGUAAAAGUCGUAACA
rnacentral:rRNA from 1 species